rnacentral:rRNA from 1 species
AGUGAACGCUGGCGGUAGGCCUAACACAUGCAAGUCGAACGGCAGCACAGGAGAGCUUGCUCUCUGGGUGGCGAGUGGCGGACGGGUGAGGAAUACAUCGGAAUCUACUUUGUCGUGGGGGAUAACGUAGGGAAACUUACGCUAAUACCGCAUACGACCUACGGGUGAAAGCAGGGGACCUUCGGGCCUUGCGCGAUUGAAUGAGCCGAUGUCGGAUUAGCUAGUUGGCGGGGUAAAGGCCCACCAAGGCGACGAUCCGUAGCUGGUCUGAGAGGAUGAUCAGCCACACUGGAACUGAAACACGGUCCAGACUCCUACGGGAGGCAGCAGUGGGGAAUAUUGGACAAUGGGCGCAAGCCUGAUCCAGCCAUACCGCGUGGGUGAAGAAGGCCUUCGGGUUGUAAAGCCCUUUUGUUGGGAAAGAAAUCCAGCUGGCUAAUACCCGGUUGGGAUGACGGUACCCAAAGAAUAAGCACCGGCUAACUUCGUGCCAGCCGCCGCGGUAA